UCCUACGGGUGGCAGCAGUGGGGAAUAUUGCACAAUGGAGGAAACUCUGAUGCAGCGACGCCGCGUGAAGGAAGAAGGUUUUCGGAUUGUAAACCUCUGUCUUAAGGGACGAUAAUGACGGUACCUUAGGAGGAAGCUCCGGCUAACUACGUGCCAGCAGCCGCGGUAAUACGUAGGGAGCGAGCGUUGUCCGGAAUUACUGGGUGUAAAGGGAGUGUAGGCGGGAUGGUAAGUUAGGUGUGAAAUGCGGAGGCUCAACCUCCGAGCUGCACUUAAAACUGCUGUUCUUGAGUGAAGUAGAGGUUGGCGGAAUUCCCAGUGUAGCGGUGAAAUGCGUAGAUAUUGGGAGGAACAUCAGUGGCGAAGGCGGCCAACUGGGCUUUUACUGACGCUGAGGCUCGAAAGCGUGGGGAGCAAACAGGAUUAGAUACCCGAGUAGUCAAC
rnacentral:rRNA from 1 species